GAUGAACGCUGGCGGCGUGCUUAACACAUGCAAGUCGAACGGAAAGGCCCAAGCUUGCUUGGGUACUCGAGUGGCGAACGGGUGAGUAACACGUGGGUGAUCUGCCCUGCACUUCGGGAUAAGCCUGGGAAACUGGGUCUAAUACCGGAUAGGACCACAUCUUGGAUGGUGUGGUGGAAAGUUUUUCGGUGUGGGAUGAGCUCGCGGCCUAUCAGCUUGUUGGUGGGGUAAUGGCCUACCAAGGCGUCGACGGGUAGCCGGCCUGAGAGGGUGUACGGCCACAUUGGGACUGAGAUACGGCCCAGACUCCUACGGGAGGCAGCAGUGGGGAAUAUUGCACAAGGGGCGCAAGCCUGAUGCAGCGACGCCGCGUGGGGGAUGACGGCCUUCGGGUUGUAAACUCCUUUCGCUAGGGACGAAGCGUUAUGUGACGGUACCUGGAGAAGAAGCACCGGCUAACUACGUG
rnacentral:rRNA from 1 species